GGCAGGGUAGCAAAGUGGUUAUGCAGCGGCCUGCAAAGCCGUUUACGUCGGUUCGAUUCCGUCCCCUGCCUCCA
rnacentral:tRNA from 1 species